UACGUAGGGGGCAAGCGUUGUCCGGAUUUAUUGGGCGUAAAGAGCGUGUAGGCGGCCUGACAGGUCUGCUGUGAAAACUCGGAGGCUCAACCUCGAGAUGUCGGCGGAAACCGUCUGGCUAGAGUCCGGAAGAGGAGAGUGGAAUUCCUGGUGUAGCGGUGAAAUGCGCAGAUAUCAGGAAGAACACCUAUGGCGAAGGCAGCUCUCUGGGACGGUACUGACGCUGAGACGCGAAAGCGUGGGGAGCAAACAGG
rnacentral:rRNA from 1 species